rnacentral:tRNA from 1 species
GCCUGGCUGGUUCAGUCAGUAGAGCACGAGAUUCUUGAUUUUGGGGUUGUGGGUUCAAGCUCCACGUUGGGUA